rnacentral:rRNA from 1 species
CAGCCGUAAACUAUGCGCGUUAGGUGUACUGGUGACCACGAGUCACCGGGUGCCGAAGGGAAACCGUGAAACGUGCCGCCUGGGAAGUACGGUCGCAAGGCUGAAACUUAAAGGAAUUGGCGGGGGAGCACCACAACGGGUGGAGCCCGCGGUUUAAUUGGACUCAACGCCGGAAAUCUCACCGGAUAGGACAGACAUAUGAUAGUCGGGCUGAAGACUCUACUUGAUGAUCUGAGAGGUGGUGCAUGGCGUCAGUGACU